rnacentral:rRNA from 1 species
UGCCUUGGCACUAGGAGCCGAUGAAGGACGUGAUAAGCUGCGAUAAGCUUCGGGGAGUUGCACGUAAACUUUGAUCCGAAGAUUUCCGAAUGAGGAAACUCACUUAGAGUAAUGUCUAAGUAUCAUUAAGUGAAUACAUAGCUUAAUGAGGGGAACUCAGGGAACUGAAACAUCUAAGUACCUGAAGGAAGAGAAAGAAAUUCGAUUCCGUAAGUAGCGGCGAGCGAACGCGGAUUAGCCCAAACCAAUAAAGUUUUCUUUAUUGGGGUUGCGGACAUAUCAUAACGAAGAGGUAUCGUAAUUGAAGAGGUUUGGAAAGACCCACCACAGAAGGUAAUAGUCCUGUAUGUUAAACGAGAAGACUUUAGAUAUGAUCCAGAGUACCACGGGACACGUGAAACCCUGUGGGAAGCAGGAGGGACCACCCUCCAAGGCUAAAUACUACCUAGUGACCGAUAGCGUAUAGUACCGUGAGGGAAAGGUGAAAAGAACCCCGGGAGGGGAGUGAAAUAGAACCUGAAACCCUGCACUUACAAGCUGUGGAAGCACAUUUCUUGUGUGACCGCGUACUUUUUGUAGAACGGGCCAACGAGUUACGUUAAGUAG